rnacentral:lncRNA from 1 species
AUGGGAAAUAAGCAAGACGAACUCCAACUCCUAGCACAGCACCACACAUACGAUGUCAUAGGCAUCACUGAAACCUGGUGGGAUGACUCCCAUCACUGGAAUUUAACCAUUGAGGGCUAUAACCUCUUUCACAUAAAUAGAACAAAGGGGAGAGGAGGGGGAGUAGCUUUAUAUGUCAAAAACAGUUACGUUGCAGAAGAAAUGCAAGACUGUAAUCCGGGAAACCAGCUUGAAAGCAUCUGGAUAAGAAUCAAGGGAACAGGGACUCAAAAAGAUCUUGUCGUGGGUGUCUACUACAGACCUCCGAGUCAGGAUGAAGGACUUGAUGAAGCCUUCUGUCAACAGCUGACCAAACAGGCACAAAGAAGAGAUAUAGUAGUCAUGGGCGAUUUCAAUUAUCCCGAUAUCUGCUGGAAAACAAACUCAGCCAAGAGUACAAAGUCCAACAAAUUCCUCACUUGCCUUGCAGAUAAUUUUAUGGUCCAGAAGGUAGAAGAGGCAACAAGGGGAUCAGCAACUCUUGAUCUAAUCUUAACAAAUGUGGAAGACCUGAUCAAUACAGUUGAAGUGGUUGGAUCCUUAGGGGCAAGUGACCAUGUGCUCCUGCAGUUUGCAAUACAAAGGAAUGCUGAAACUAAGACAAGUCAAACACGCAUUCUGGACUUUAAGAGAGCUGACUUCCAAAAAAUGAAGGAAUUACUGAGCGGCAUUCCAUGGACGCCGAUAUUAAAAAACAAGGGAGUUAAGGAUGGAUGGGCGUUUUUCAAAAGUGAAAUACUCAAGGCGCAAAUGCAAACAGUGCCAACAAAGAAGAAAAAUAAGACAAGUGCAAAGAAGCCAGAAUGGAUGUCCAAAGAACUUCUAACUGAGCUAAAGCUCAAAAGUGACAUGCACAAGAAGUGGAAAAGGGGAGAAAUCACCAAAGAAGAAUUCAAACGUAUAGCCAACUCCUGUAGGGAAAAGGUUCGCAAGGCUAAAGCGCAAAAUGAGCUCAGGCUUGCCAGGGACAUAAAAAACAACAAAAAAGGUUUUUUUGCUUAUGUUGGUAGAAAAAGGAAGAAAAAGGAGGCGAUAGGGCCACUGCAAGGAGUAGAUGGGGUGAUGGUGACAGGGGAUAGGGAAAAGGCAGAACUGCUUAAUGCCUUCUUUGCCUCGGUCUUCUCACAAAAAGAAAGCCAUCUUCAACCACAGCAACAUGGAAUGGACGAAGGAUUGGGGGAAAUCCAACCCCAAAUAGGGAAACAAGUUGUCCAGGAACACUUGCCUCUCUAA